rnacentral:tRNA from 1 species
AAUAAGAUGCCUGAACAAAGGACUAUUUUGAUAGAAUAGAUCAUGUAUAAUUUAUACUCUUAUUG